rnacentral:pre_miRNA from 9 species
UUGCGAUAGCGUAAAAGUGUACUCAAACUUGUAUGAAGUUGGAAUGUUUGGCUAUGUUUGCCGCUAGGGGCGCUGUUCCAACUGCAUACAAAUUUGAGUUAACUUUUACGCUAUCGA